GUUGAGAAGGAAUUAUCAGGUUCAGCAAGGUUCAACGGUGAUUCCGAAACUGAAAUCUCAUGGAACUGUUAGUGUUGAAAGCAUGCUGGUGGGUAAAGGAAAGCUUGAUGGUUCAGCUGUUGGUGUGACUUCAUGCACGAAUCAGAGUAACUUUCUAUCCCAAAUUUGAAAAUGAAAAGUCAGAUCAAGAGAGUGGACGAUUGGGAUGGUCGAAGCCCAAUACCACCUUCAUCUCGACUAUAUAAGCCUCGCAUCAUCACCUAUGAAGGUAUGUCUCAUUCUAACCCCUCUAUAGCUCAUAAGUUUGAAGGCCAUAGAUUAACUUAAAAGCAAAGACAAAAAAUAUUACUCGAAGGGAGAAUAAAUUAACUUUUAAUUUAGUUAAAAGCCUUGAAUGAUUAAUUAACCCGGUAUUGGGCUGAGGCCUCUGGUCCAACAAAAUAUGAAAGCCCGUGAGAUAGCCUUUAUAUUAAAGCACAUGCAUUCUUCACCGUCUAUGUUAUGCCGCUUCUAUCUUACAUUGUGUUUGGUUUGGUUCUCCGAUUCGUCUUUCUACUUCUUCAUCUAAAGAAUGAAUGCAGCUUCUAUCUUACACUAUGUUUGGUUUGAUGAAAAUCUCUAUGUACGUUCAAAAUUGAAAUUAUUUUUUAUAACAAAAUAAGUUAAUGAUUAACCAAACAUAGAGUCAAAGUAUAUUUUCAUUUAGAAAGAGGCAUCUAGGGUGCAGAGCAAUAUAGUAUAAUAAAGGCUUAACUACACAUUUGGUCCCUUACAUUUAUUUUAAGUUUCAAUUUGGUCUCUUACGUUUAAAAAGAAUUUGGUCCAUUACGUUUUCAUUAUGUUUCAAUUUAGUCAUUUCCGUUAGUUUUGUCACUAACACCGUUUGAACUAUACAUGUGUCACUGUGUCAAAGUGUCCACGUGUCAGUCCACAUAUGCGAAUUGACUGCCACAUGUGACACAAUUGACGGAAAGGACUAAAUUGAAACCUAAUGGAAACGUAAGGGACCAAAUUGAUACUUUUUAAACGUAAGGGACCAAAUUGAAACUUAAAAUAAACGUAAGGGACCAAAUGUGUAGUUAAGCCUAUAAUAAACCAAACAUGCUAGUUUGGUUUUGCUUUCAAUAUCUUAUGUUGCCUAAAUAUUCCAAGCUGGAGGUGCCUUUAGAAGAAUUUCAACACAGUCCAAUAAGCCCAAAUCUUAUCUGAAUAGUGAAUUCAACAGCCUUUGAAGCCACUCAAAAAGGCCCAAAUUGGAGGUGGGGGUGUGACAUUAUAAGAAGGGCUUUCUAUCAAUUGUGCAUCAUAAACUAGGUCUAUAAGAGCCACAAAUAUAGAAUUUUUGACCUAAUAUCCCUACAUUUUCAUAAUAAUUCAAUUUUGCCCCAACACAUUUGAAACUCCACCUUUUUUAAAACAUUUCGAACUUCUCUCUCUCACUCCAAUGUACGACUCCUCCAGUCUUUCCAGUACAUAAAAGUUUUGCUUAAAACUUUUGAUCAAAAUUUAAUUUUUUGUAUAGAACAUUUCAUAAAUUGAAAAUGUUGGUACAAUGUUCCGUCAUUUUUAAUUUAUGAAAUGAGGUUUUGAUCAAAUUGUGUUUCAUCAAAUUGACACUUUCAGAAUUAUUUUCAAUUAUAAUCUUUUGUUUAUCUCAUAAUUUUUAGGAUUAAAUUCACUUUUGAUCCCCCUACUUUCAUAAAUAUGAAGUUUUGAUUCCCCUAUUUUUAAAUUCAACUUUUUGAGUUUUGGUCCCUCACCCCUUUUUUUAGACCAAUUUUGUUGAUGUGGCAUUGUUAGUGAUGACAUGGCAGCACCCA